rnacentral:rRNA from 1 species
CGAGCGACGCCGCGUGAAGGAUGAAGGCCUUCGGGUUGUAAACUUCUUUUGCAAGGGAAGAAACCGUGUUCAGCACGGAGAAUCCAAUUACACUCCGCCUCAUCGGCGGAAACUUUAGGAAUUGUGUUGAGAAAAAAUGUUUUGAUCUUUUUUAGGGAGGAAUAAACAAUGGCCGCCCAAAGUCUUGAGAUUACGGCAAAAACAGAAGAGGCUUUAGAAAAAGAAGUCAACCAUCGUGUCGAGUUUGCGCCCCAAAUUGGCCGUCGGGUUACUGGUGUGCAGUUUAUGAAAACACUGGCUGCCGAUGGGAACCACAGGGCUAUACUCACGAUCGAAGGAGGAUGUUGCUGCUAAAAAACAAUUCCCCUAAAUCGAUUCAAGCGAGAUUGCGAACCUGCUUUCUCGCAAUCUCAACUCAAUUCCUAAAAAGAAAAAAGUGUAAUUGACGAUUCCGUGUUGGAUACGGCUGACGGUACCUUGCGAAUAAGAGGUUGCUAACUCUGUGCCAGCAGCAGCGGUAAUACAGAGACCUCAAGCGUUAUCCGGAUUUAUUGGGCGUAAAGCGUGUGUAGGUGGCGAUGAUAGUCAGAUGUCAAAUUCCAGCGCUCAACGUUGGAGCUGCAUCUGAAACGUCAUCACUAGAGGCAAGUAGAGGCUCAUGGAACAUAUGGUGUAGCAGUGAAAUGCGUUGAUAUCAUAUGGAACGCCAAAGGAGAAGUCAGUGAGCUGGGCUUUGCCUGACACUGAGACACGAAAGCGUGGGUAGCGAACGGGAUUAGAUACCCCGGUAGUCCACGCCCUAAACGUUGCCAACUAGGUCUUGGAAGUAUCGACCCUUUCAGGACCGUAGCUAACGCGUUAAGUUGGCCGCCUGGGAAGUACGGCCGCAAGGCUAAAACUCAAAGGAAUAGACGGGGACCCGCACAAGCGGUGGAGCACGCGGUUCAAUUCGUCAACAAGCGAGGAACCUCACCAGGGCUUGAAAUCCUACUGCAAAUCCCGAGAAAUCGGGACUUCUUCGAGAGUGUAGGACAGGUGCUGCAUGGUUGUCGUCAGCUCGUGCCGUGAGGCGUUCCCU